rnacentral:rRNA from 1 species
CAGCCGCCGCGGUAAUACGGAGGGUGCAAGCGUUAAUCGGAAUUACUGGGCGUAAAGCGUGCGUAGGCGGUUCGUUAAGUCUGUUGUGAAAGCCCCGGGCUCAACCUGGGAAUGGCAAUGGAUACUGGCGAGCUAGAGUGUGUCAGAGGAUGGUGGAAUUCCCGGUGUAUCGGUGAAAUGCGUAGAGAUCGGGAGGAACAUCAGUGGCGAAGGCGGCCAUCUGGGACAACACUGACGCUGAGGCACGAAAGCGUGUGGAGCAAACAGGAUUAGAUACCCGUGUAGUCCCUGUCUCUUUACA